rnacentral:rRNA from 1 species
GAGGAGCUUGCUCCUCUGAUUCAGCGGCGGACGGGUGAGUAACACGUGGGCAACCUGCCCUUGAGACUGGGAUAACUUCGGGAAACCGGAGCUAAUACCGGAUAAUAUUUGGAACCUCCUGGUUCCUUAUUGAAAGAUGGUUUCGGCUAUCACUCAAGGAUGGGCCCGCGGCGCAUUAGCUAGUUGGUGAGGUAACGGCUCACCAAGGCGACGAUGCGUAGCCGACCUGAGAGGGUGAUCGGCCACACUGGGACUGAGACACGGCCCAGACUCCUACGGGAGGCAGCAGUAGGGAAUCUUCCACAAUGGACGAAAGUCUGAUGGAGCAACGCCGCGUGAGUGAUGAAGGCCUUCGGGUCGUAAAGCUCUGUUGUUAGGGAAGAACAAGUGCGAGAGUAACUGCUCGCACCUUGACGGUACCUAACCAGAAAGCCACGGCUAACUACGUGCCAGCAGCCGCGGUAAUACGUAGGUGGCAAGCGUUAUCCGGAAUUAUUGGGCGUAAAGCGCGCGCAGGUGGUUUCUUAAGUCUGAUGUGAAAGCCCACGGCUCAACCGUGGAGGGUCAUUGGAAACUGGGGAACUUGAGUGCAGAAGAGGAAAGUGGAAUUCCAAGUGUAGCGGUGAAAUGCGUA